UACGGGGGGGGCAAGCGUUGUUCGGAAUUACUGGGCGUAAAGGGCUCGUAGGCGGCCAACUAAGUCAGACGUGAAAUCCCUCGGCUUAACCGGGGAACGGCGUCUGAUACUGGAUGGCUUGAAUCCGGGAGAGGGAUGCGGAAUUCCAGGUGUAGCGGUGAAAUGCGUAGAUAUCUGGAGGAACACCGGUGGCGAAGGCGGCAUCCUGGACCGGCAUUGACGCUGAGGAGCGAAAGCCAGGGGAGCAGACGGG
rnacentral:rRNA from 1 species